GAUUGAACGCUGGCGGCAUGCCUUACACAUGCAAGUCGAACGGUAACGGGCCUUCGGGUGCCGACGAGUGGCGAACGGGUGGGUAAUACAUCGGAACGUGCCCGAUCGUGGGGGAUAACGAGGCGAAAGCGUUGCUAAUACCGCAUACGAUCUACGGAUGAAAGCAGGGGACCGCAAGGCCUUGCGCGGACGGAGCGGCCGAUGGCAGAUUAGGUAGUUGGUGGGAUAAAGGCUUACCAAGCCGACGAUCUGUAGCUGGUCUGAGAGGAUGAUCAGCCACACUGGGACUGAGACACGGCCCAGACUCCUACGGGAGGCAGCAGUGGGGAAUUUUGGACAAUGGGCGCAAGCCUGAUCCAGCCAUGCCGCGUGCAGGAUGAAGGCCUUCGGGUUGUAAACUGCUUUUGUACGGAACGAAAAGCCUUCUUUUAAUACAGGAGGGUCAUGACGGUACCGUAAGAAUAAGCACCGGCUAACUACGUG
rnacentral:rRNA from 1 species